AGAGUUUGAUCCUGGCUCAGGACGAACGCUGGCGGCGUGCUUAACACAUGCAAGUCGAGCGAGAAAGUUACCUUCGGGUAAUGAGUAAAGUGGCGGACGGGUGAGUAACGCGUGGAUAACCUGCCCCUAGGUCUGGAAUAACCUUUCGAAAGGGGGGCUAAUUCCGGAUGUGUUGUAGUGGACGCAUGUUUACUACAAUAAAGUUAGCCUUAGAGCAAACGUUUAGGGAUGGGUCCGCGUUCCAUUAGCUAGUUGGUGGGGUAACGGCCUACCAAGGCAGCGAUGGAUAGCCGGCCUGAGAGGGCGAUCGGCCACACUGGGACUGAGACACGGCCCAGACUCCUACGGGAGGCAGCAGUGGGGAAUCUUCCGCAAUGGGCGCAAGCCUGACGGAGCAACGUCGCGUGAGUGAAGAAGGCCUUUGGGUUGUAAAGCUCUGUCUUUGGGGAAGAACAUUCGUAUGGUUAAAAGUCAUACGGGUUGACGGUACCCAUAAAGGAAGCCCUGGCUAACUACGUGCCAGCAGCCGCGGUAACACGUAGAGGGCGAGCGUUGUCCGGAAUUAUUGGGCGUAAAGGGCGCGUAGGCGGUUAGGCAAGUCGAAUGUGAAAUCCGCUGGCUCAACCAGUGAAUUGCGUUCGAAACUGCCAUGCUUGAGGUCAGGAGAGGAGAACAGAAUUCCUAGUGUAGCGGUGAAAUGCGUAGAUAUUAGGAGGAAUGUCAGUGGCGAAGGCGGUUCUCUGGCCUGUACCUGACGCUGAGGCGCGAAAGCUAGGUUAGCAAACCGGAUUAGAUACCCGGGUAGUCCUAGCUGUAAACGUUGGGCACUAGGUGUUGGGGGUUCGAUUCCCUCAGUGCCGCAGCUAACGCAUUAAGUGCCCCGCCUGGGGAUUACGACCGCAAGGUUGAAACUCAAAGGAAUUGACGGGGGCCCGCACAAGCGGCGGAGCAUGUGGUUUAAUUCGAAGCAACGCGAAGAACCUUACCGGGAUUUGACAUCCCCUGCUAGUCUGUGAAAGCAGAUAUUCCCUUCGGGGACAGGGAGACAGGUGGUGCAUGGCUGUCGUCAGCUCGUGUCGUGAGAUGUUGGGUUAAGUCCCGCAACGAGCGCAACCCUUAUCCUUAGUUGCCAGCAUGUAGUGAUGGGGACUCUAAGGAGACUGCCAGUCAAAAAACUGGAGGAAGGUGGGGAUGACGUCAAGUCAUCAUGCCCUUUAUGUUCCGGGCUACACACGUGCUACAAUGGACUGUACAACGGGUGGCGACGGAGUGAUCCUGAGCUAAUCCUAAUAAAGCAGUUCUCAGUUCGGAUUGCAGGCUGCAACUCGCCUGCAUGAAGCUGGAGUCGCUAGUAAUCGCGAAUCAGAAUGUCGCGGUGAAUACGUUCCCGGGCCUUGUACACACCGCCCGUCACACCACCCGAGUUUGAUGCACCAGAAGUCAUCCGUCAGGGUGCCGAAGGUGUGUCCGGUAAGGGGGGUGAAGUCGUAACAAGGUAGCCGU
rnacentral:rRNA from 1 species